rnacentral:lncRNA from 1 species
CCGGGUUCUAGGGACAGCAGAGAGCAACGUCCAUCUGUGCCGGGCCUCACUCGCAGAGGGUCGGACAAACUCCACGCCAGCAGGGCCUGGGCCACAGACAGAGCCGCAGGGGAGCUGCAGAAAUCCGAGGAGCGGGCAGGUGACUCCGUGUGCAGACAGGGCAAGGAGGUUGGGGCCCAGCUUCAUCCUUGUGCAUGGGAACAUUCACAUCCCAGCAGCAUCUGUGAAGGAAGCAACCUCUGCCGCUCUCCGAACCCUUGGCGAGACCACUGCCCGGUGAGCGGUUGCUUCCGCCUGUCCUUGCUCCCCGGCUCUGCACUGUCUUCAGCUCAGACCACGUCCUUCCCACGACUCUAACUUGGAGCAUGUUUUGAAGUCAGGACUGUGACUCCGCCACGCCUUUGCCUGCUGUGGAGGUCGUCCUGGCUCUGUGGGGUCCCUGAGAUUCCAGAUGAAUUCAGGAAGGGCUGCCAUGGCCAAGUGCUGACUUCCCGGGCUCAGGGCUGAGGCUGCUGGAGGGGUCGCUGGGGCCGUGGCCUAUCAGGCUGCUCCCUCCUUGAUGCUGUUUCCUGUCCUCCACGAGGGCCAGCGGGGAAAACCAGUGGAAGCUUGGAGGACAAUGCCUGUUCCACUGGCCUGGCAGCUGGACGCUGAGCUCUGAGACAGGCGCAAUGGGCAGAAACUACCUGAGGCAUUCAGGGAUUUACCAUCCCACUGCAUGCUAAGUUCUCUUCCACCAUUACCUGUCCAGGUUCAAUGUAGGAGGAGGAGAUGCAAAGCAUUUGCUUUGCAGGUCAAAGCCCAGAGGCGCCAAGCUGCUGCACAGAGGAGGGUCACAGGAGAAGCUGAUCCGUCUGCGCUGGGGAGAGCUCGCCCAGAACCCUGCUGCCCGCGUGCGACGUCCCAGGGCGCGUGGGCCAUGGGUGUGAGCCAGGCCUUCCCCGUGUGACUCUCCACCCCAUCUGUCUGCUUCUUGCUCCUGCAAGUGUUCAUUUUAUUUCAUAUCGC